GCAAGUCUGGUGCCAGCAGCCGCGGUAAUUCCAGCUCCAAUAGCGUAUAUUAAAGUUGUUGCAGUUAAAAAGCUCGUAGUUGAACCUUGGGCCUGGCUGGCCGGUCCGCCUCACCGCGAGUACUGGUCCGGCUGGGCCUUUCCUUCUGGGGAACCCCAUGGCCUUCACUGGCCGUGGCGGGGAACCAGGACUUUUACUGUGAAAAAAUUAGAGUGUUCAAAGCAGGCCUUUGCUCGAAUACAUUAGCAUGGAAUAAUAGAAUAGGACGUGCGGUUCUAUUUUGUUGGUUUCUAGGACCGCCGUAAUGAUUAAUAGGGAUAGUCGGGGGCGUCAGUAUUCAGCUGUCGGAGGUGAAAUUCUUGGAUUUGCUGAAGACUAACUACUGCGAAAGCAUUGCCAA
rnacentral:rRNA from 1 species